UUGAACGCUGGCGGCAGGCUUAACACAUGCAAGUCGAGCGGUAACAGGGGAAGCUUGCUUCCCGCUGACGAGCGGCGGACGGGUGAGUAAUGCUUAGGAAUCUGCCCAGUAGUGGGGGAUAGCCCGGGGAAACCCGGAUUAAUACCGCAUACGUCCUACGGGAGAAAGCAGGGGAUCUUCGGACCUUGCGCUAUUGGAUGAGCCUAAGUCGGAUUAGCUAGUUGGUGGGGUAAAGGCCUACCAAGGCGACGAUCCGUAGCUGGUCUGAGAGGAUGAUCAGCCACAUCGGGACUGAGACACGGCCCGAACUCCUACGGGAGGCAGCAGUGGGGAAUAUUGGACAAUGGGGCAACCCUGAUCCAGCCAUGCCGCGUGUGUGAAGAAGGCUUUCGGGUUGUAAAGCACUUUCAGUAGGGAGGAAAACCUUAUGGUUAAUACCCAUGAGGCUUGACGUUACCUACAGAAGAAGCACCGGCUAACUCCGUGCCAGCAGCCGCGGUAAUACGGAGGGUGCAAGCGUUAAUCGGAAUUACUGGGCGUAAAGCGCGCGUAGGUGGUUUGGUAAGCGAGAUGUGAAAGCCCCGGGCUUAACCUGGGAACGGCAUUUCGAACUGUCAGACUAGAGUGUGGUAGAGGGUAGUGGAAUUUCCUGUGUAGCGGUGAAAUGCGUAGAUAUAGGAAGGAACACCAGUGGCGAAGGCGGCUACCUGGACCAACACUGACACUGAGGUGCGAAAGCGUGGGGAGCAAACAGGAUUAGAUACCCUGGUAGUCCACGCCGUAAACGAUGUCAACUAGCCGUUGGGACUCUUGAAGUCUUAGUGGCGCAGCUAACGCACUAAGUUGACCGCCUGGGGAGUACGGCCGCAAGGUUAAAACUCAAAUGAAUUGACGGGGGCCCGCACAAGCGGUGGAGCAUGUGGUUUAAUUCGACGCAACGCGAAGAACCUUACCUGGCCUUGACAUCCAGAGAACUUUCCAGAGAUGGAUUGGUGCCUUCGGGAACUCUGAGAUAGGUGCUGCAUGGCCGUCGUCAGCUCGUGUCGUGAGAUGUUGGGUUAAGUCCCGUGACGAGCGCAACCCCUAUCCCUGGUUGCUAGCAGGUAAUGCUGAGAACUCCAGGGAGACUGCCGGUGACAAACCGGAGGAAGGUGGGGAUGACGUCAGGUCAUCAUGGCCCUUACGGCCAGGGCUACACACGUGCUACAAUGGCGCGUACAGAGGGUUGCCAACUCGCGAGAGUGAGCCAAUCCCUUAAAACGCGUCGUAGUCCGGAUCGGAGUCUGCAACUCGACUCCGUGAAGUCGGAAUCGCUAGUAAUCGCGAAUCAGAAUGUCGCGGUGAAUACGUUCCCGGGCCUUGUACACACCGCCCGUCACACCAUGGGAGUGGAUUGCACCAGAAGUAGUUAGUCUAACCUUCGGGAGGACGAUUACCACGGUGUGGUUCAUGACUGGGGUG
rnacentral:rRNA from 1 species